AUUGAACGCUGGCGGCAUGCUUUACACAUGCAAGUCGAACGGCAGCGCGGGCUUCGGCCUGGCGGCGAGUGGCGAACGGGUGAGUAAUGCAUCGGAACGUGCCCAGUAGUGGGGGAUAGCCCGGCGAAAGCCGGAUUAAUACCGCAUACGACCUGAGGGUGAAAGCGGGGGACCGAAAGGCCUCGCGCUAUUGGAGCGGCCGAUGUCGGAUUAGCUAGUUGGUGGGGUAAAGGCUUACCAAGGCGACGAUCCGUAGCUGGUCUGAGAGGACGACCAGCCACCCUGGGACUGAGACACGGCCCAGACUCCUACGGGAGGCAGCAGUGGGGAAUUUUGGACAACGGGGGCAACCCUGAUCCAGCCAUGCCGCGUGCGGGAAGAAGGCCUUCGGGUUGUAAACCGCUUUUGUUCGGGAAGAAAUCCUCUGGGCUAAUACCCCGUGGGGAUGACGGUACCGGAAGAAUAAGCACCGGCUAACUACGUG
rnacentral:rRNA from 1 species